AACUUUUUUCCCCUCACUUCUUCUUCUUCUUCAAUGGCACUAACGUUCCUAGAGGAACUUCGCCGUCUCAACGUAGUAUUACUUGCGUCAUUUUUAUUAGUACUUAGUUGAGAUUUCUAUGCCAAAUAACACGCCUUGAAUGCAUUCUGAGUGGCAAGCUCUAGAAUACGCGUGAUCACAGUGCAAGUCGGAGGAAAUUUCUUUGACGAAAAAUUCCCCCGACCAGAACGGGAAUCGAACCCGAACACCCGGCAUGUUAGUUAUGACGCUAACCACUCGGCCACGGGAGCACAACUACCUGUCAAAUGUUUCUCCGAUCCAGAGAUGCCAGGUUUGCCGACAUGUCUUCAUUUUGAAGACAUUUGACUUACUGUGAAGACAUUUGAUUUUGUGAAGACAUUUUGAAGACAUUUUGAAGACAUUAUGAAAUACUUGAAGACAUUUCAGUGUGAUAGCGUACGUGGGUUCUUGAGAGAUAUUAUUUCCAUGAAUUUUUAACUAUUGGCCAAAAAUAUCGUCACAUGAAAAAGAGCUUGUUUCGUUUUGACCUGAACCUUCCAAACGAUCACUUCACAAAUUGAAGGUUUUCCGAUUACAUAACGUUUCAAUAAUAAUGGUCUGAGUCACAACAAAAACUUCAGAGCUUAAACAAACAAAUGGAGUCAUCAAAUUUUGUUUUUAUGGAAGAACUGGUGCUAUAAUCAAUCAAUCAACGGUUUAUCAACCCAAUUGUCAUUUCUGUACUCAUAAAAUUUAGUUCGCUAUGUAUUCUUUGUUCACAUUUAUUGAAAUAAACUCCAAAACCUCGAGAAAAUUUAAUGAAAUGCGCUAUAUAACAAUACGAAUUAGAAUAAACAUUGAUUAAGCUAUCAAACUUCGUUCAAAAGUAAGUUUUUUUUUCACUUAAAUUCUUUUUAUUUCUCAAUUUGGUUCACAUUAUAAUAUAAUAAUACAUUUCAAGUGAUCACCCUAGGGUUCUACAUUUUUAAAUUCAAAAGUAAGUUAUUAAUUUUGGUUCCCUCCGAUAUGAUGGUGAAGACAUUUGAAGACAUUUUUGCGUACCAUGUGAAGACAUUUGAAAAGACCACCUGGCAUCCCUGCUCCGAUCAAAGAAACAAACGUUUUCGUAACUCGAACUUAGUUUAUUUACGUUUGUAUCCGAAGCAAAAUUUUAUUCAAGAAAGUGGUCAGUUUGAUUUAAAAUACGUUGUUCAGUGAAAGACUGUCCGAAUGCGAGUAAAAAAUACUCGCGUAUGUUUCCAUCAUUUCCCCUCGGAUGCGUUCUUACAAAUGCACUGAAUCGGUUUUCGUAAAGAGGAUAAACAUACUCCGAACAAGGAUACCCGCGUCUGUGGAGACUAUUUUAAUAGUUGUUCCAUUUCAACCGAAAAGGAAACCUGGUGAAUCUUCGAAACGCUUUCCAACAAUUAGGCCGAUUGUCCAGCAACAAGACUACGUCCAUCCAUUCCAACAAGUAACGCAGAUUGUUUUGCCGCUAUAUUCCGCUAUUGUUAUGUCCCAGCAAACAUUAAAUCGUAUAAUUUUGCACGUGCCAAGUCAAGAAAUCCGAAUAAAUCAUAAUCGCUUAUGAUAUCAAUCAAAAUAGCCGCGCGAGAUAGCUGGUGGAUGAUAAUUCAGACGACCGGAGUUAGAAUCCACAUCGCAGCAGUUUUCACCAAACAUCAGUCUGUGCCAUUUUAAACAUUCAUAUUCCACUCCAACACAAGUCAAUCAAACGAUUAUUAUUUCCACAAACAUAAAUACUCAUAUAUAAAAAUCGCGCUUCGUGAGGCUAUAAUAAACAUUUCACGAAAAUAUUUUGCGUCAUUUGUUUUUUUCUAUAUCUGUAAUAAAUCGUAUAUGAGUAUAGUAUGGCAAAAGUCGUAUUUGGUGCUAUAUAUUCAUAUUAGAUCGCAAUUCAAUUCAACAUAAUCGCUAUUAUAGCCGGUCAAAGUUGCAUAUU